CAGAGCGUGAGGCUCAGUCGUGGCGUCAGCUGCGUGCUGGGCCGACCCUCCCACCCGUGUCGAUUUCUAUCUUGUUGCUUUGGCGAGCCGGGCUACGUCGUCGCUGCCCGUACGGACAUGCGUCGGCCGCCCACCGGUUUCGACUGGAGCGCGUCCGCCAAAGACCUAACCAAAACUCAUGUUGUCUUUGUCGUCUCAGCUUUAUUAUUGAAUUGAUA
rnacentral:misc_RNA from 1 species